UACUCGAGUGGCGAACGGGUGUGUAACACGUGGGUGAUCUGCCCUGCACUUCGGGAUAAGCUUGGGAAACUGGGUCUAAUACCGGAUAGGAGCCAUCUUUAGUGUGGUGGUUGGAAAGUUUUUUCGGUGUAGGAUGAGCUCGCGGCCUAUCAGCUUGUUGGUGGGGUAAUGGCCUACCAAGGCGGCGACGGGUAGCCGGCCUGAGAGGGUGUACGGCCACAUUGGGACUGAGAUACGGCCCAG
rnacentral:rRNA from 1 species